rnacentral:lncRNA from 1 species
GUCCAGUUGAGGGUGAUUGGCAGGCUGUGACAUGAAAGGUCACCUUGCUCAAUCCUGUUCUUGUUCUUCAGCAUUUGCUUUCAGGAGGAAGAAAAUAUCCCAAGCAGUGGGAUAUUGUGGAAAGAGUCCAG